AUGGCCGGGAUGUUGCCCGGGGUGGAGUGCGCGCGGCGGCGGCGGAUGUGGCAGGGCGGGGGCGCCGGGGCGGACCAGGCGGCCGCGGGCACCAGGCGGCUCUCCUUCUGCCUCUACGCGGCCGGGCACGGCGCCGCUCACGCCGUGGGCACCGGAAAUUCCGGCAAUAAGCAGAGGAGCGGCGCCAUGGACGGGUGGGCGCUGGACAGCAAUGCCCGGGAGGCCAAGGAGCGGCUGGACCAGAAGCUCAAGAGCAAGAGCACCGGGCCCGACACCGUCAUCAAGAGCGGCGGCGGUGGUGGCGGAGGGGGCUCGUCGGCGGCGGUGGCGACGGGCGUGCAGCGGGAGGUGUACUCGAAGAAGGGCGUGAUGCGGCGGCUGAUGAGGUGGAGCCGGCUGCGGUGGGAGGCCGCGGAGCAGGCGGAGUGCGCGGUGUGCCUGGAGGAGUUCGCCGCGGGCGACGUCCUGGCGCACCUGCCGUGCGGCCACCGCUUCCACUGGGGCUGCGCGCUGCCCUGGCUCGAGGGCGCCGCCGCCGCCUCGCACUCCUGCCCGUUCUGCCGCGCCGCGGUCGACGCCGGCGCGCACGCCGCCUCCUAG
rnacentral:rRNA from 1 species